UACGAAGGGGGCUAGCGUUGCUCGGAAUCACUGGGCGGUAAAGGGUGCGUAGGCGGGUCUUUAAGUUAGGGGGUGAAAUCCUGGAGCUCCAACUCCAGAACUGCCUUUGAUACUGAGGAUCUUGAGUUCGGGAGAGGUGAGUGGAACUGCGAGUGUAGAGGUGGAAAUUCGUAGAUAUUCGCAAGAACACCAGUCGGCUGGAAGGGCGGAGCUCGA
rnacentral:rRNA from 1 species